rnacentral:rRNA from 1 species
AUUGAACGCUGGCGGCAGGCCUAACACAUGCAAGUCGAACGCGUGGCGGACGGGUGAGUAAUUGCUGGGAAACUGCCUGAUGGAGGGGGAUAACUACUGGAAACGGUAGCUACUACCGCAUACCAUCGGAUGGUCCCAGAUGGGAGUAGCUAGUAGGUGGGGUAAAGGCUCACCAAGGAGACUAUCCCUAGCUGGUCUGAGAGGAUGACCGGCCACACUGGAACUGAGACACGGCCCAGACUCCGACGGGAGGCAGCAGUGGGGAAUAUUGCACAAUGGGCGCAAGCCUGAUGCAGCAAUGCCGCGUGUAUGAAGAAGGCCUGCGGGUUGUAAAGUACUUUCAGCGGGGAGGCGUUACCCGCAGAAGAAGCCCCGGCUAACUCCGUGCCAGCAGCCGCGGUAAUUC